AUCACUUCUCAGCUUUUUAGCUAAGAACAUGUGUUGUAUUUGUUCUUAUCAGUUUAAACCUACUGAUGGUGAAAACAUCUUUAUCCAAAGAAUGACUCCAUCAUACCUGUAGAAAAAGCUUGCAGGAAAUCCACAUUUCAGCUAGGGCUUCCGAGGCAAGUUCUUGGCCUGUUCCACCCCUU
ensembl:snRNA U2 U2 spliceosomal RNA